rnacentral:rRNA from 1 species
ACGAGAGGACCGGGAAUGACGUGCCUCUGGUGUUCCGGUUAUUGCGUCAGCAGUAUCGCCGGGUAGCUAAGCAUGGAAGAGAUAAGCGCUGAAAGCAUCUAAGCGCCAAGCUCCUCCCAAGAUAAGAUCUCCCUUAAGAGUCCAGGAAGACUACCUGGUUGAUAGGCUGGAAGUGUAAGUGCAGUAAUGUAUUAAGCUAACCAGUACUAAUUACUCGAUUGUGUUUGUCUAUAC